ACACUGAUCCAUUCCUGACAUCUUUUUCCUGUGAGAAAGAGACAGAGUCGAACCCUUUUAAAUAGCAGUCUUUAGUCAGCAGGGUCCAAAAAUAACAGCAAAGUAAAAUUGGCUUUGGUGACUGAUUCAUUCUGAGUUAAUCUGAUACCGGAACACAGAGCCUCAACACUCCUUGAAUCACCAAAGUGACUGUAAACAGGACAAUGCAAUCAGAGGACACUGAUGUGAAGUUAAGAGAGGCACUGAAUCUCAUGCUACCCAGAAACCCCCAUCGGUCCUGCUCGAUUUGACAUAGAACCGCAGCACCCCACCCACACCAACUUCAGCAUACUCACACCUGUCACACCUACCACACCCUCACACUGGUCGGCUUAGUGCUUACUGUGCUGUUUUGUUUCCGCUCCUGUUCUGUUUUUGUGUUUAUAUGCAGCAUUUAUCCUCCACACAAUGUCCACUGUUCCCUGCUGGUACUGAUGAAGAUCCUCCUUCUGCGGUAUGUUAGGAUUUACUGCACACAAACUAAUCAACUAUUGUGGCCUGCUGGUUUUGUGAGAAUCUGUUGUGCUAAUUCUAUGAAUUACUUUUUUCCUAUUGAUAUAAAAACAGAGUCAACCCAAAACUGUCCUUAAAGGUGCACUCAAUAAGUUUCUGUUUACACUGAGAUGCCUCUUAGUCGAUAUUCAAUAGUACCAGUGGUUUUGGACUUUGUACUGAUACUUUUUAGCUUGAAAUUGAAUGCAUGGAGCUUGUUUAGUUGCUUCACAUCAAAGAUGUUUAUCUUUUUUGUUAAUUUUUGUGUUCUAAUUUUGCUGUUAUGUAUGGUGUGGUUACAUUUAUCGUUGUUCUGCGAAUAUUUGCGUGAGAAAUGCAGCCAUUUCAAAAGGAAUCCCUGUGAUAGGAAAUGUUGCAUGGGGGUGAAAGAUUUCCCCAUGCAGAUUUCGCAAAGGGUUCAAGUUGAUCAUGAGAAUUUAGCAUUUACAGACAGAAAGCAACUCGGUUUAAAGGUGACUUCUGUGUGAGCUGUGCUUUAUAUAUAACUAUACUGUUGACUGUAGACCUUAUUCACAGCAGCGCCAUCUUUGAUUUUUAAUGGGAAUAAAAACGAGGCUGUGAGGGAAAAAGAGACAUCUCUUCAGUGGGUUGUACUAUUAUUUAAUGUAUUUUUGGAUUGUUCUGCUGACAAAACAUUGAAAAAUAUCUUUGUAAGAAAUUUCAAUUGGCAAAAAACUCCAGACAACAUGAGCUGUGGAAAAUUAUAAGUUAUGUAGGAUGCCACUGAAAACACAGUAAGUCUAUCCCUCACAGCCUUGCUUUCACACCUGGCAUGGCGCUGCUCUGAAUAAAAUCUAUGGGCCUUUUUUUGCCUGCACCUUUAAAA